UGAUCCUGGCUCAGAUUGAACGCUGGCGGCAGGCCUAACACAUGCAAGUCGAACGGUAGCAUAUCUUGCUUGCAAGAUGAUGACGAGUGGCGGACGGGUGAGUAAUACUUAGGAACAUGCCUUUGAGUGGGGGAUAACUAUUGGAAACGAUAGCUAAUACCGCAUAACGUCUACGGACCAAAGGGGGCUUCGGCUCUCGCUCAGAGAGUGGCCUAAGCGAGAUUAGCUAGUUGGUGAGGUAAAGGCUCACCAAGGCGACGAUCUCUAGCUGUUCUGAGAGGAAGAUCAGCCACACUGGGACUGAGACACGGCCCAGACUCCUACGGGAGGCAGCAGUGGGAAAUAUUGCACAAUGGGGGGAACCCUGGUGCAGCCAUGCCGCGUGUGUGAAGAAGGCCUUCGGGUUGUAAAGCACUUUCAGUUGUGAGGAAAGGUUAGUAGUUAAUACCUGCUAGCUGUGACGUUAGCAACAGAAGAAGCACCGGCUAACUCCGUGCCAGCAGCCGCGGUAAUACGGAGGGUGCGAGCGUUAAUCGGAAUUACUGGGCGUAAAGCGCACGCAGGUGGUUUGUUAAGCUAGAUGUGAAAGCCCAGGGCUCAACCUUGGAAUAGCAUUUAGAACUGGCAGGCUAGAGUCUUGGAGAGGGGAGUGGAAUUCCAGGUGUAGCGGUGAAAUGCGUAGAGAUCUGGAGGAACAUCAGUGGCGAAGGCGACUCCCUGGCCAAAGACUGACACUCAUGUGCGAAAGUGUGGGUAGCGAACAGGAUUAGAUACCCUGGUAGU
rnacentral:rRNA from 1 species